rnacentral:lncRNA from 13 species
UGAUAGGCUGACACCUCUACAAUAUAUUAUUAAAAAGGCUCAAAAUGGAACCCCUCCCAUCACAACAAGGUUCUGGCGCCAACAUUUACACAGGGGUUCCUCGAAGACCCUUUUCAGAGAGGUUCCAGGUUCAACUGGAAAGGUUCGGCCAGUGUGGCAGCCCAGAAGCUGGUGGAGUGCCCAACUAGACCAACAUGGACCAAGACAACCAUCAGGAAGAUGGAGAACACAUUUAAGAAGCUGGACACCAACGGGACUUACAAGGCCAUCGGAGAGUUCAAGACCGUCGUCCUGUGGAUCAGUGACAUGAGAGAGAGAAAGGAAACGUCAACGGAUAAAUGCCAGUAGUCUUCCACCCACCCACCCAUCCACCCACCCACCCACCCAUCCACCCAUCCAUCCAUCCAUCCAUCCAUCCAUCCACCCACCCACCCACCCANNNNNNNNNNUAGUAUCCAAUCAGUUCCAUCCCCUAUGGCUAUAGUAUCCAAUCAGUUCCAUCCCCUAUGACUUUAGUAUCCAAAAGAAGAGUGUGUUUAUGAUAUGUUGUCAACCAUUCAUUCCCUCUUUUGGCAGCUGGACACCAACGGGACUUACAAGGCCAUCGGAGAGUUCAAGACCGUCGUCCUGUGGAUCAGUGACAUGAGAGAGAGAAAGGAAACGUCAACGGAUAAAUGCCAGUAGUCUUCCACCCACCCACCCAUCCACCCACCCACCCACCCAUCCACCCAUCCAUCCAUCCAUCCAUCCAUCCAUCCACCCACCCACCCACCCA